CGAGCCGGGCGGGCGGCCGCGUGGAGUCCCUCACGGGACUUCCCGAGGAACGUCCGGGCUCCACAGGGCAGGGUGAUGGCUAACGGCCACCCGGGGUGACCCGCGGGACAGUGCCACAGAAAGCAGACCGCCGGAGGCUUCGGCCCCCGGUAAGGGUGAAACGGUGGUGUAAGAGACCACCAGUGCCCAGGGCGACCUGGGCAGCUAGGUAAACCCCACCCGGAGCAAGGUCAAGAAGGAAGCGCCCCGGUGCUUCUGCGCGGACGUUCGAGGGCUGCCCGCCCGAGUCCGCGGGUAGACCGCUGGAGGCCGGUGGCAACGCCGGUCCUAGAUGGAUGGCCGUCGCCGACGGGACCCGCGAGGCCCCGUCGGAACAGAACCCGGCGUACAGCCCGACUCGUCUG
rnacentral:RNase_P_RNA from 17 species